rnacentral:rRNA from 1 species
GACAUCUCCUUAAUCGGAGAGUUCCCUUCGGGGACAUUGGUGACAGGUGGUGCAUGGUUGUCGUCAGCUCGUGUCGUGAGAUGUUGGGUUAAGUCCCGCAACGAGCGCAACCCUUGUCUUUAGUUGCCAUCAUUAAGUUGGGCACGCUAGAGAGACUGCCAGGGAUAACCUGGAGGAAGGUGGGGAUGACGUCAAAUCAUCAUGCCCCUUAUGCUUAGGGCUACACACGUGCUACAAUGGGUAGUACAGAGGGUUGCCAAGCCGUAAGGUGGAGCUAAUCCCUUAAAGCUACUCUCAGUUCGGAUUGUAGGCUGAAACUCGCCUACAUG